UACGGGGGGGGCAAGCGUUGUUCGGAAUUACUGGGCGUAAAGCGAGCGUAGUCGGUUAUUUAAGUCGGGUGUGAAAGCCCCGGGCUCAACCUGGGAAUUGCAUUCGAUACUGGAUAGCUAGAGUUCGGCAGAGGGAAGCGGAAUUUCCGGUGUAGCGGUGAAAUGCGUAGAUAUCUGGAGGAACACCGGUGGCGAAGGCGGCAUCCUGGACCGGUAUUGACGCUGAGGCGCGAAAGCUAGGGGAGCAAACGGG
rnacentral:rRNA from 1 species